UCAGUGGUUUAUGAUGCAUGCUCUUUCCCCGACUUAUCGACCAUGGUGAAACAGAUUUAUAUCUUAAGCCAAUUAUUUUCUGAAACCACUGU